GUAGAGGAUGUGCUGCAGCUGCGUGUACUCCACCUCCGUCAUCUCCACCAGGCUCAGGGCCUGGCAGCUCACGUCUGUCUAGCCCCGAAUAGUGUUCUGCUGCCUGGGUGGUCCACAGCUUUGUGUCCGUCACCCACCGAGGGCAUCUUGGUUGCUGCCGAGUUUGGGCGACUGAGAAUAAAGCUGCCGUAAACACUGUGUGCCGCUUUUCUCCUUCUUUGGGAAAACGCCAAGGAGCACGGUUGUGGAUCGUAUGUCCUCUGGCAGAGCUGUGCCCGGGAUGACCCACGUGAGGAGAGAUCAUGAAGAAGUGGGUUAUGCUCUGCCUUGGUUUCUGUCUGGAGCCACUCAGGGUGCCACAUACUCAACUAGGGAAGAAAUGGGAAGAGCAGACCGUGGGAACAUUUGUGCACUCGCUACAUGUGUGACAGCGCACUUGCUACAUCAGGAGUUGGCGAGCACAGCCCUCAGCCCCAAUCCAGCCUACUGUCCGUGAAGGACCGUGAGCAAAGAAAGGUUUUUAUGUUUUUAAA